rnacentral:rRNA from 1 species
UACAGAGGGUGCUAGCGUUGUCCGGAAUCACUGGGCGUAAAGGGCGCGUAGGCGGCCUGCUAAGUCGAACGUGAAAUCCCCGAGCUCAACUCGGGAACUGCGUCCGAUACUGACAGGCUUGAAUCCGGGAGAGGGAUGCGGAAUUCCAGGUGUAGCGGUGAAAUGCGUAGAUAUCUGGAGGAACACCGGUGGCGAAGGCGGCAUCCUGGACCGGCAUUGACGCUGAGGCGCGAAAGCUAGGGGAGCAAACGGG